AUUUUUACGCCUUCAUUCCUGCCAACUCCCUGUGCGUUUAGCUCCAACUCUUUGCUUUCUUUUCUUGUUUUUUUUUUUUUUUCCUUGCCCCAAACUACCGUUGCAAAAUCAUCCUUCUAUUUGGAAUUUACAAUGCCUGCACCUUUCAGUAGCCUCCAUCAGAUGCUUCGGCUGUGUCUACACCUAUGCUAACAUUCCUUCAUCACAGUCUACACACUUAGGGCACAUAAAUUCUUACGGAAACAUCCGGGGUACCAGGGACUGUAUCUCCGUUUGUCCUUUGGUGGGCCAGGGGUCCAGAGCCAAUGACAUCAAGGGCUCUGUGUUUGCGGGGAGGAACAGGAAAUAUGGCCGCCCUGCGGUGGGUUAUUACAUUUGCUUCACGUACUCCACCCUGAGGCCAUAGACCACCCUCCAUAAACCUCCAAACACAUCCCGUUUGAUCCCAUAGACCACCAGACUCUGGCCCUCAUGGAGCCCUGUCAUCCACCACAGACCCCGUAGACCUUGACCCCAUAGACCACCAACCAUGGCCCUUCCUGCCCCCUGUCACCCACCCACACAGAUCAUCUCAACGAGGGGAUGUCUGUGCGUUAAGUCCCGGCUCCUACCCCUCGGAAGACAAAUGUACAGUAGAAAAGGCAUAAUUCUUCUCAUGCCAAACAUUUCCUUGUUAAAAACUACAACAUAGGAAAAGAGUCUUUUUGGAGGGAGGGAAAGAGGCAGAGGUGGGGAAGGUCAGGGUGGAACCUGGACCUCGUACUGACAACAGCUGCCAUUUUCUGGAACAGAAGCUUGGCUCCUUGAUGUUGUUCCGUAUAUUUGUCAAACUCAUCCUUCUCCACAUUGAGUGUUCCCUGGCAGCCACUGCCGGGAAUACAGUCCUGUCCAGUCUUUGGAAACUUCCUUUCAAACACCCUCAGUGUUCUACUUAAAUGUUAGCAAGUCACAGGUUUCCUGGCCCGGAAAGAGAGACCUAUUUUAAAAGAUUCAUAUCGCCCCACCCUCCACACAUUCAGUGUCUCCCCACCAACUAUCAAACAAAGUACCUUUGUAGUUCCUACAGUGACAAAACAAUGCACGAUUUAGGUCCUCCACACAUUUGCCGACGUGCUUUAACUAACCUGGGUUGAUGUCCUGAUCUGGAAAAAAUGGGCAUAAAAAUGUUUGCCCUGCCAACCCAGGACCGCACAGGGGAGCCAAAGAGGCAAUUUCAGUGACUUUCCAAAAACGUACUACCAACCUUAAUGAGACACCUUUUUUCCCUGGCUCAGUCGUAGUGCCUUCCAGUGAGCUGUGGCUGCUGUGGCUGCUGCGUAACAAAUGGAAUAAAGACACAGUGAGAAAAAUCUAUGUGAUGGGCAAGUUGGUUCCUGAAAAUAGGCCCAACCAAGAUGG